rnacentral:rRNA from 1 species
AUUGAACGCUGGCGGCAGGCCUAACACAUGCAAGUCGAGCGAGCGGCGCACGGGUGUGUAAUGUAUGGGGACUGCCCUAUAGAGGGGGAAAUCUUCUGGAAAGUGUGUCUAAUCCCGCAUACUAUCAGGUCACCCAUAUGGGAUUAGCUAGUAGGUGGUGUAAAGGCUCACCUAGGCGACGAUCUCUAGCUGGUCUGAGAGGAUGAUGAGCCACACUGGGACUGAGACACGGCCCAGACUCCUACGGAGGCAGCAGUGGGGAAUAUUGCACAAUGGGCGCAAGCCUGAUGCAGCCAUGCCGCGUGUAUGAAGAAGGCCUUAGGGUUGUAAAGUACUUUCAGCGGGGAGGCGUUACCGGCAGAAGAAGCACCGGCUAACUCCGUGCCAGCAGCCGCGGUAAUUC